AGAAAUUAAUUUAAAUAAAAAAUCAAAUUUAAAAGACCAAUACUAUGGAGGAUGUAUCGGAGGGCCAGUUUAAAAACAAAACAAAAAAAUUGAAAUAUUGAACCCUAAAAAAAUCCCCAAAUUGUUGAAACUUCAAUCACUCAAAUUACGGUGCAUAUCAGUUGCUCACACCUCCGUUGCUUGUGUCUCCUGCGCGUCUGUUGUUCUCCUCGUUGUCAGCGGCAUCACUUCUGUUCAAGAUUGUGUUGUUGAAGAUAUCUCACUACUUGCAGUAGCAGUUGUCUUCGCGCUCGCCUCCUGCGGCCAUUGUUCGCGCUCGUCGUUGUUGCACUCUCUGUUGUGGUGCUCGUCGUCAUCAAAUCUCGCUUUUAAUUUUGAAUCUCGUGCGACAAAGCUUCAAACGACCAACGGAGCUUAGAUCACCACCAUCUACCACCGCUCACCUUCAAUGACACCAUUAGGCAACCACGUGCAUCUUCACGGACCUUCACCACAACUGCAUUGGGGACGAUUUUGAGGAGCUGGUUUUGGGGAAAUUUCUCAUAGAUUAAG
rnacentral:lncRNA from 1 species